GCGCCACAGACACCUAUCAGCCUUUUGUAAGGAGGAGCAGCUCGAGUGCGGUGCGGUCAGUAGCCCUUCAAAUUAGAAAAGUGAGGAUGAUCUUGUCAAUGCUGAGAUUUUCAUGCAUCAGCAGCCACUACAUCUGGAUCAGAUUGAACAAGAAACAGACAGCAAGGGUUGUCAGAUCAGAAGCAGAAUGACACACAAACACAAGAAACUUCACAGGCAGAUCAACAUGCAAUUUGAAGACGUGUGAUAAAAUACAGAGAGGUGAAGUAGUGUGUCUUUCCAGAUCCCCAAAUCAUUCCCCCUUAAAAGAUGAGCCUGAAGAGGAGAUUUGGGAAGAUGCUGUUUCAUAAGUCGCUUUGCCAGAUCACCUGUGGUCGGGAUGUCUGCUAACAAGAUGCCUUGCUGGUCUGAGCGAGUUUAAAGUCUUACACAGACAGUCUAGAAGUUCUGAAGUCCAUCUUCGAUUUCAUUGGACGCUUUAAGGUGUAGAAACAUCUCAGCAACCUCAAGAGAAAUUGGAGGCAACUGAGCUAAAUUGCAGAUGUUGUUUCAAAGGGUCUGAAUAUGUGUAAUGUAAAUAUGAUGUGUUUUCUUUUUUCAUACAUUUGCAAAAGUUUCUAAAAUUAAACACAACAGCUUUGUUCUUUCAUCAGAUGGCUAUGCAAUGUUUCAAGUCAGACUAUCAAAGAAAACGCAUCUUGCCCUGAUGUGCAAUAACAAGAUUUUUUUGUACAUGGGCUAAAAUGCAGCAUUUUUUGAAAAUUAAAUAUCUUGUUUUU